AUUUACAGGAACUAAUUAUUUCAAAUUGAAACAAAAAGUUUUUGUUCAUUAUAAAAAUGUGGUGUUGUUUCUUCAGAGUCGGACAGGACAGGUUGUUAACAUUACAGCCGAAGUUAACAGGGCCUUCACAUCCAGCAUGGAGGUUGGGAUUUUGGUGAGAGCUGUGAAGAUCUCUUCAGCAACAGACAGUGGAAAGUCUGUCAAGGUUUUGCCACCUUUGUGGCCUGACGAAUCAAAGCGGGAAAGGCAAGAAAUAACACUUCAAACUAAAAAUUUUAGGCACAAGUUUUCUGUGAAAUAGAUCAAACAUUCAUCAGCACAGUGUCUGUUUGGGUUAGCACAGAUACAACUGAAGCAGGUGAUUCCACGCACGCAGGCGGAGCAGAUGGAGUACAGACUGAUCCAUGCAGAGAUAAUUAACGAUCUUCUCAGCAGCUGCUCCUCUCAGAUAGUUUGUCAGUGAGUCAGAGUCUGGAUUACCAGGAUGUGGCGCCUGCAGAGCGGACUCGGGUAGAAAGUGUUGAGCUGGUGCUCCCGCCUCAUGCCAAUCACCAGGUCAGCACAUUUGGUGGACAAAUCAUGGCCUGUUUGGAGAACGUAGCCACCAUCUCUGCCAGUCGUUUGUGUAAUGCUCACCCAACUCUGCGGAGCAUAGACAUGUUCCACUUCACGGGCCGUCCCACAUUGGAGAAAGGCUGGUGUUAAAGGCAAUCUUAAACAAUGCAUUCAAGCAAAGUAUGGAGGUGGGAGUGUGUGGAGAGCCCCUGCGACACAUCACCACGGCCUUCAUGACCUUUGAGGUCUUAAACAAUGACAGGAAGCCAUGCACGUCGCCAAGGAUACGGCCUGAGCCUGUG